UACGGAGGGUGCGAGCGUUGUCCGGAAUCAUUGGGCGUAAAGGGCGCGUAGGUGGCCCGGUCAGUUCGCGGUGAAAGCGCGGGGCUCAACCCUGCGUCGGCCAUGAAUACUGCCGCGGCUGGAGCACUGUAGAGGCAGGCGGAAUUCCGGGUGUAGUGGUGAAAUGCGUAGAGAUCCGGAGGAACACCAGUGGCGAAGGCGACACGCUGGGUCACACCGUGACGCUAAAGCGCGACAGCAUGGGGAGCGAACGGG
rnacentral:rRNA from 1 species